rnacentral:miRNA from 7 species
GUGGGCAUGGUGGGGAUGGGUUGGGGUUGAGCUCGAUGACCUUAGAGAUCUUUUCCAACCUUAAUAAUUCU